GGGGAAUUAGCUCAGCUGGGAGAGCGCCUGGUUUGCAACCAGGAGGUCACCGGUUCGAGCCCGGUAUUCUCCACCA
rnacentral:tRNA from 4 species